rnacentral:ncRNA from 2 species
CGACGCUGGAAAGAGGGUGUUGCCAAGCGCAGCAUCCCACCGAAGGAGCAAGCUGCACGGACGGGUCAGCCCUGUUGCAGCGGGAAUCUCUCAGGUCACGAGACAGCGGGGGCAGG